rnacentral:lncRNA from 1 species
GUAACGACCCCAAAAAAAUUCAUACAAUAUAAUUCUCAACUUCGGUCGUUAAUAACACAUCUACCUUCUGAUUUUACAUCAUUAUUCAAUGUUAAACUUUAUAAAAUUCGGAAUAAAUUUUUUUCUUUCUUUCCAUUCAUUCAUUCCCUGAAUCGCAACCUUUACAAUUCUUCUUUAUACUAGAAUCAUAUUUAUUAUAUGAUUUGUAUAAUAUUCUGUGUAAACGUAUUAAAAGCUUAAGUCUCAAUACUUCAUAUCUUUUCUAUCGAU